GGGGGGAAAAAAAGGGGGGGAAAAAAUGUUUUUUUUCUCCGGCCCCCGGGGAAGUGGACCCCCGGGGGGGCACCGUGGAACNNCUAAACCCAAAAUUUCCGCCAAAGGGGGUUUCNCCCCCCCUUAAAUUGCCCAAGUGGAUUAGCUAGUGGGGAGGUAUGGUCACCAGGGAACGUCCCUAGCUGGUUGGGAGGAUGUCAGCCACACUGGACUGNACACGGCCCAGACUCCUACGGAGGCAGCAGUGGGGAAUAUGCANAAUGGGCGCAAGCCUGAUGCAGCCAUGCCGCGUGGUGAAGAAGGCCUUCGGGUUGUAAAGCACUUUCAGUCAGGAGGAAAGGUUAGUAGUUAAUACCUGCUAGCUGUGACGUUACUGACAGAAGAAGCACCGGCUAACUCCGUGCCAGCAGCCGCGGUAAUACGGAGGGUGCGAGCGUUAAUCGGAAUUACUGGGCGUAAAGCGUACGCAGGCGGUUUGUUAAGCGAGAUGUGAAAGCCCCGGGCUCAACCUGGGAACUGCAUUUCGAACUGGCAAACUAGAGUGUGAUAGAGGGUGGUAGAAUUUCAGGUGUAGCGGUGAAAUGCGUAGAGAUCUGAAGGAAUACCGAUGGCGAAGGCAGCCACCUGGGUCAACACUGACGCUCAUGUACGAAAGCGUGGGGAGCAAACGGGAUUAGAUACCCCGGUAGUCCACGCCGUAAACGAUGUCUACUAGAAGCUCGGAGCCUCGGUUCUGUUUUUCAAAGCUAACGCAUUAAGUAGACCGCCUGGGGAGUACGGCCGCAAGGUUAAAACUCAAAUGAAUUGACGGGGGCCCGCACAAGCGGUGGAGCAUGUGGUUUAAUUCGAUGCAACGCGAAGAACCUUACCUACACUUGACAUACAGAGAACUUACCAGAGAUGGUUUGGUGCCUUCGGGAACUCUGAUACAGGUGCUGCAUGGCUGUCGUCAGCUCGUGUUGUGAGAUGUUGGGUUAAGUCCCGCAACGAGCGCAACCCCUAUCCUUAGUUGCUAGCAGGUAAUGCUGAGAACUCUAAGGAGACUGCCGGUGAUAAACCGGAGGAAGGUGGGGACGACGUCAAGUCAUCAUGGCCCUUACGUGUAGGGCUACACACGUGCUACAAUGGCGCAUACAGAGUGCUGCGAACCUGCGAAGGUAAGCGAAUCACUUAAAGUGCGUCGUAGUCCGGAUUGGAGUCUGCAACUCGACUCCAUGAAGUCGGAAUCGCUAGUAAUCGCGUAUCAGAAUGACGCGGUGAAUACGUUCCCGGGCCUUGUACACACCGCCCGUCACACCAUGGGAGUGGGUUGCUCCAGAAGUAGAUAGUCUAACCCUCGGGAGGACGUUACCANNCGNGNCAU
rnacentral:rRNA from 1 species